rnacentral:rRNA from 1 species
AUUGAACGCUGGCGGCAUGCCUUACACAUGCAAGUCGAACGGUAACAGGUCUUCGGAUGCUGACGAGUGGCGAACGGGUGAGUAAUACAUCGGAACGUGCCUAGUAGUGGGGGAUAACUACUCGAAAGAGUGGCUAAUACCGCAUGAGAUCUACGGAUGAAAGCAGGGGAUCGCAAGACCUUGUGCUACUAGAGCGGCCGAUGGCAGAUUAGGUAGUUGGUGGGAUAAAAGCUUACCAAGCCGACGAUCUGUAGCUGGUCUGAGAGGACGAUCAGCCACACUGGGGCUGAGACACGGCCCAGACUCCUACGGGAGGCAGCAGUGGGGAAUUUUGGACAAUGGGCGCAAGCCUGAUCCAGCAAUGCCGCGUGAAGGAUGAAGGCCUUCGGGUUGUAAACUGCUUUUGUACGGAACGAAAAGCCCCGGGUUAAUACCCUGGGGUCAUGACGGUACCGUAAGAAUAAGCACCGGCUAACUACGUGCCAGCCGCCGCGGUAA